UCUCAACGGGGAUUGACCGGACAAGAAAG
rnacentral:piRNA from 1 species